rnacentral:rRNA from 1 species
AAACCCCCUCGCCGAAAGACUAAGGUUUCCUGAUCAACGCUAAUCGGAUCAGGGUCAGUCGGGUCCUAAGGCUCAGCCGAACGGCGAUGCCGAUGGCAGAAACGGUUAAUAUUCCGUUACUACCUUCAGGAGUGACGUGGAGACGCAGUAGUGACAGUGCCGCCAUCUGACGGAAUAGAUGGUUGAAGGGUGUAGGAGUCGAUCAUGGCAGGCAAAUCCACCAUGAGAUCCGAACCUGAUAGUAUGCCGCGUCCUUCGGGACAAGGCAAUAGUGCGCGUAAGCAUGCUGCCGAGAAAAUCCGCUAAACUUAAUCCUGGAGGUACCCGUACCGCAAACGGACACACGUAGUCGGGAUGAAUAUUCUAAGGCGCUUGAGUGAUUCACGGUUAAGGAACUAGGCAAACUGACCCUGUAACUUCGGGAUAAAGGGUCCCUACCCUUUUAUGGGAGGGCGCAGAGAAUCGGUCCAGGCAACUGUUUAACAAAAACACAGGGCUGUGCCAAAUCGAAAGAUCCAGUAUACAGCCUGACACCUGCCCGGUGCUGGAAGGUUAAGAGGAGAUGUCAUCGAUAAGAGAAGCGUUGAAUUGAAGCCCCAGUAAACGGCGGCCGUAACUAUAACGGUCCUAAGGUAGCGAAAUUCCUUGUCGGGUAAGUUCCGACCUGCACGAAUGGUGUAAUGAUCUGGACGCUGUCUCAACCGUGAGCUCAGUGAAAUUGUAGUAUCGGUGAAGAUGCCGAUUACCCGCGAUGGGACGAAAAGACCCCGUGAACCUUUACUAUAGCUUAUCAUUGAAUCUGGGCACGUGAUGUGUAGGAUAGGUCGGAGGCUUUGAAGCAGGUACGCCAGUAUUUGUGGAGCCGCUGUUGAAAUACGACCCUUUAUUUGUUUGGAUUCUAACCCGUGGAACGGGGACAUUGAUUGGUGGGUAGUUUGACUGGGGUGGUCGCCUCCAAAAGCGUAACGGAGGCUUCUAAAGGUGCCCUCCGGCCGAUUGGUAACCGGCCUUAGAGUGUAAUGGCAUAAGGGCGCUUGACUGGGAGACUAACAAGUCGAUCAGGUAGGAAACUAGAGCAUAGUGAUCCGGUGUUUCCGUAUGGAAGGGACAUCGCUCAAAGGAUAAAAGGUACUCCGGGGAUAACAGGCUGAUCCCUCCCAAGAGCUCAUAUCGACGGAGUGGUUUGGCACCUCGAUGUCGGCUCGUCACAUCCUGGGGCUGGAGAAGGUCCCAAGGGUUGGGCUGUUCGCCCAUUAAAGUGGCACGCGAGCUGGGUUC